rnacentral:rRNA from 1 species
UUUAUUGGAGAGUUUGAUCCUGGCUCAGGACGAACGCUGGCGGCGUGCCUAAUACAUGCAAGUCGAGCGGACCUUUCAAAAGCUUGCUUUUGAAAGGUCAGCGGCGGACGGGUGAGUAACACGUGGGCAACCUGCCUGUAAGACUGGGAUAACUUCGGGAAACCGGAGCUAAUACCGGAUAAUAUAAGGAACCUCCUGGUUCUUUAUUGAAAGAUGGUUUCGGCUAUCACUUACAGAUGGGCCCGCGGCGCAUUAGCUAGUUGGUGAGGUAACGGCUCACCAAGGCGACGAUGCGUAGCCGACCUGAGAGGGUGAUCGGCCACACUGGGACUGAGACACGGCCCAGACUCCUACGG